rnacentral:rRNA from 1 species
GGAUUAGAGACCCCACUAUGCCCAGCCCUAAACUCUGAUGGCACACUACGCCCGCCAUCCGCCAGGGGACUACGAGCAUUAGCUUAAAACCCAAAGGACUUGGCGGUGCUUUAGACCCCCCUAGAGGAGCCUGUUCUA